UUGACGGGGCCCGCACAAGCGGUGGAGCAUGUGGUUUAAUUCGACGCAACGCGAAGAACCUUACCAGGGCUUGACAUCCCCUGACCGCGUAUGAAAGUACGUUUUCACCCUCGGGUGACAGGGAGACAGGUGUGCAUGGUUGUCGUCAGCUCGUGUCGUGAGAUGUUGGGUUAAGUCCCGCAACGAGCGCAACCCCUACGUUUAGUUGCUAACGCGUGAAGGCGAGCACUCUAGACGAACUGCCGUUGACAAAACGGAGGAAGGUGGGGAUGACGUCAAAUCAUCAUGCCCCUUAUGACCUGGGCUACACACGUGCUACAAUGGGCGGUACAAAGGGUCGCGAACCCGCGAGGGGGAGCCAAUCCCAAAAAGCCGCUCUCAGUUCGGAUUGCAGGCUGCAACUCGCCUGCAUGAAGUCGGAAUCGCUAGUAAUCGCGGAUCAGCACGCCGCGGUGAAUACGUUCCCGGGCCUU
rnacentral:rRNA from 1 species